UGCCUUAGCAUCCUGAGAGAGGGUU
rnacentral:piRNA from 1 species